rnacentral:lncRNA from 1 species
UGAAAGGUGAUGGAAAUAGGGUUAUGAACUAUUUUGCAUGGUUUGGUUGUAUUGAAUUGUGGAAGGUGGAUAUGGUAAUUGAGUUAUGGAAGGUGGAUAUGGUGAUAUACUAAUGAAUUGAUGAUUAUUUAUGUCUAUGGCUCAAUUUGGUUUAAUGGAUUGGUUGGAAGGAUAAAUGAAUCCAAACUUGAUAUUGGAGGAUGUUGUAUGAAUAUGCAUGGCAUGUGAAUGUAAUUGGAGUAUAAGAGGGUUAAAGUGACACCCUUUAUGGUGUAAUUAAGGCUUACUACUUAACCACUAGUUUGGUGAAUUCAAAUAAUUGAAUUGUGACAUUUGGUCACUAAUACUAGAUUGCUAUAUAUGUUCAUUGUAGAUAAGUAAUCCGAAAAGACGAGAAGUCCAUUUGGGACUAGUAUUGAAGGUUGACAGUCAGGUAUGUAAAGCAUACUCUAUACCAUAUCUUUGGCAUGAAAGUGAACAAUUGUUCUAUUAAGAAAGUUUCCAAAGUUAUUCAGUAACAUGUGAUCCAUAAUGGUUUUGUAUGAUGUCCUACGUUACCAAUGAACUUGUUUCCACCCUACAAGAUGUCAAGACAUUCCAAUACUUAUUUGUUUUCCAAAUCUUACAUGUUUAUUGCACUAAUGAAUGUCAGAAGGUAUCCGGUUACUC